UCCUGGCUUAGGAUGAACGCUAGCGACAGGCUUAACACAUGCAAGUCGAGGGGCAUCACGGGAGUAGCAAUACAACUGGUGGCGACCGGCGCACGGGUGAGUAACGCGUAUGCAACCUACCUAUCAGAGGGGAAUAACCCGGCGAAAGUCGGACUAAUACCGCAUAAAACAGGGGCACCGCAUGGUGAUAUUUGUUAAAGAAAUUCGCUGAUAGAUGGGCAUGCGUUCCAUUAGGUAGUUGGUGAGGUAACGGCUCACCAAGCCGACGAUGGAUAGGGGAACUGAGAGGUUGGUCCCCCACACUGGUACUGAGACACGGACCAGACUCCUACGGGAGGCAGCAGUGAGGAAUAUUGGUCAAUGGGCGGGAGCCUGAACCAGCCAAGUCGCGUGAAGGAAGAAGGAUCUAUGGUUCGUAAACUUCUUUUGCAGGGGAAUAAAGUGCAGGACGUGUCCUGUUUUGUAUGUACCCUGAGAAUAAGGAUCGGCUAACUCCGUGCCAGCCGCCGC
rnacentral:rRNA from 1 species